rnacentral:rRNA from 1 species
GACGAACGCUGGCGGCGUGCUUAACACAUGCAAGUCGAACGGAAAGGCCCUGCUUUUGUGGGGUGCUCGAGUGGCGAACGGGUGAGUAACACGUGAGUAACCUGCCCUUGACUUUGGGAUAACUUCAGGAAACUGGGGCUAAUACCGCAUAGGAGCUCCUGCUCCAUGUUGGGGGUUGGAAAGUUUCGGCGGUUGGGGAUGGACUCGCAGCUUAUCAGCUUGUUGGGGGGGUAGUGGCUUACCAAGGCUUUGACGGGUAGCCGGCCUGAGAGGGUGACCGGCCACAUUGGGACUGCGAUACGGCCCAGACUGCUACGGGAGGCAGCAGUGGGGAAUAUUGCACAAUGGGCGGAAGCCUGAUGUAGAAACGCCGCGUGCGGGAUGCCGGCCUACGGGUUGUAAACCGCUUUCGCAUGUGACGAAGCGUGAGUGACGGUAAUGGGUAAAGAAGCACCGGCUAACUACGUG